rnacentral:rRNA from 1 species
GACGAACGCUGGCGGCGUGCUUAACACAUGCAAGUCGAACGGAAAGGCCUGCUUUCCCUUGUGGAUUGCGGGUACUCGAGUGGCGAACGGGUGAGUAACACGUGAGUGAUCUGCCCCCAACUUGGGUAUAAGCCUGGGAAACUGGGUCUAAUUCCCGAUAGGACUGCAGGGUGGUGCCUGUGGUGGAAAACGAUUUUCUAGUGGUUGGGGAUGAGCUCGCGGCCUAUCUGCUUGUUGGUGGGGUAAUGGCCUACCAAGGCGGCGACGGGUAGCCGGCCUGGGAGGGUGGACGGCCACAUUGGGACUGAGAUACGGCCCAGACUCCUACGGGAGGCAGCAGUGGGGAAUAUUGGACAAUGGGCGGAAGCCUGAUGCAGCGACGCCGCGUGGGGGAUGACGGCCUUCGGGUUGUAAACUCCUUUCGACCGCGAGGAAGCCACCUGGUUGGAAGGGUGGUGACGGUAGUGGUAGAAGAAGCACCGGCUAACUACGUG